UUGGGAAACCGGGUGAUCGCCCUGAGUUAAACGAGAGCUCUGCUCGAGUACAACGAAGGGAGGAAAGUCCGAACACCCGACGUAUCGCAAGGUACGUUUCCGCCAAAGGCGGAUCCGCCUCUGGCGGAGACAAGGAAAGUCGCUAACGGCGACCAAAGGAGUUGGGAGCUGAAGAGCUGUCCGGCAGAGCCGGAUCCGGCUUCGCCGGAGACGCUCUUGAGCGUCUGACGAACUUUAGGGAAAGUGCCACAGAGACAAUACGAAUCCCGUUUCAACGGGAUCAAAGGUGAAAAGAGCGAGGGUGUCCUUCGGGGCUGCCUCGUUCGUCUCCCGGCAACGGGAUGACGCGGUAAACCCUUUCCGGUGCAAGAGCAAGUUUGGUCGCUCGCAUGAGUCCGGCGGCAACGUCGGAACAAGAUAGAUGAUCGCCCUCGACAAAAUUCGGCUUACAGGUUUCCCAAGCUA
rfam:Candidatus Thrbacteria bacterium RIFCSPHIGHO2_02_FTLL_54_11 rifcsphigho2_02_scaffold_8236, whole genome shotgun sequence.